rnacentral:lncRNA from 1 species
UUUUGAAAUCUACAUAAUAUACCGAUUUGAUGUCAUAUGUGUAACAUGUUUUCAACAAAGUGGUCAAAUCUAAGAAAGUUUAACUUAUAACAAAAUCUAGAAGUACACUAUUUGUGGAUGGACGGAGUAUCGCUUCUGUUGUGGUGACUCGAGGAAGACAAACGUGGCAAUCAAAUUCAGCAAUCCAACGACUUGCGGUACGUCCGCAAAAAAAGAAGAAAAAAGAGACUUGGCAGACAUGCAUAGUUCUUUUGGGGCUUGAACCGAAUAGAUGGUAACUAGAGAAGCAUAAUAUUAUUGUGUACAUAUAAUUUGCAAAUGUUCUUUAUUUUUUGUGAAAAUGACCACCGAUCUAUUAAUAAGCAUCAACAACGGUACAAAGUGUCCUAAAAAUAAUAAAAUUUACAAAUAAGUCCUUGAACCAUAUGUCGACGGCAACGAGCACUAGAACGAGGCCAAGUCGGGCCACCGUCCUUGCCCCUCCAUGGCCCCAUCACCGGAGCCGAGAAGAGUUUGCCAAAAGAGAGCUUGUGGUAGUAGAUGAUGGGGUAGUCCUCGUGCUAAGGCCACAAAAGACUAGCACACUAGAGCAACAACUAUCGUC